rnacentral:rRNA from 1 species
AACUGCGAGUGAAGCGGGAAAAGCUCAAAUUUAAAAUCUAAUGGUCUUUGGCCAUUCGAGUUGUAAUUUAGAGAAGCGUCUUCCGCGCCAGACCAUGUACAAGUCUCCUGGAACGGAGCGUCGUAAAGGGUGAGAAUCCCGUCUUUGACAUGGACCCUUGGUGCUUCUGUGAUGCGCUCUCAAAGAGUCGAGUUGUUUGGGAAUGCAGCUCAAAAUGGGUGGUGAACUCCAUCUAAGGCUAAAUAUUGGCGACACACCGAUAGCGAACAAGUACCGUGAGGGAAAGAUGAAAAGCACUUUGGAAAGAGAGUGAAACAGUACGUGAAAUUGUUGAAAGGGAAACACUUGAAGUCAGUCGCGUCGAUCGAGACUCAGCCUUGCCUUGGCUCGGCGUACUUCUCGACUUGACGGGCCAGCAUCAAUUUCGUCCCUCGGAUAAUGGCAGGGGAAAGGUGGCACCUUCACGGGUGUGUUAUAGUCUCUUGUCGCAUACGAGGGGUGGGAUUGAGGAACUCAGCACGUGCCUCACGGUGUCGGGGCUUCGGCCC